GAGACAGUCACGGAGGUGCUAAAGUGUC
rnacentral:piRNA from 1 species